GCAGCAGUAGGGAAUCUUCCACAAUGGGCGAAAGCCUGAUCCGAGCAAUGCCGCGUGAGUGAAGAAGGCUUUCGGAUCGUAAAGACUCUUGUUGAUAGGAGAAGAACAGUUACGUUAGUAUACUGAUCAGUACCCCUGACGUGUAUCCUAUACCAGAGAAGCCCACGGCUAACUACGUGCCAGCAGCCGCGGUAAUACGUAGGGUGGCAAGCGUUGACCGGAUUUAUUGGGCGUAAAGCGAGCGUAGGCGGUUUGUUAAGUCUGAUGUGAAAGCCCCCGGCUCAACCGGGGAGGGUCAUUUGAAACUGGUAGACUUGAGUGUAGUAGAGGAGAGUGGAAUUCCAUGUGUAGCGGUGAAAUGCGUAGAUAUAUGGAGGAACACCAGUGGCGAAGGCGGCUCUCUGGUCCGUAACUGACGCUGAGGCUCGAAAGCGUGGGGAGCAAACAGGAUUAGAUACCCUGGUAGUCCACGCCGUAAACGAUGUGUGCUAAGUGUUGGAGGGUUUCCGCCCUUCAGUGUUGCAGCAAACGCAUUAAGCACUCCGCCUGGGGAGUACGACCGCAAGGUUGAAACUCAAAGGAAUUGACGGGGGCCCGCACAAGCGGUGGAGCAUGUGGUUUAAUUCGAA
rnacentral:rRNA from 1 species